AGGUGAUUAGUCUAGAUAAGACUAUUGAUUUCGGCUCAAUUAACCCUGGUAUUAAUCCAUGAUCACCUA
rnacentral:tRNA from 1 species